GCCAGAGUGGCGUAGUGGUUAGCGUAUGUGCCUAGUAGGCAGAAGACCUGGGUUAGAAUCCCAGCUUUGGUA